rnacentral:rRNA from 1 species
UACAGAGGUGGCAAGCGUUGUUCGGAUUUAUUGGGUGUAAAGGGCAAGUAGGCGGUUAUGUAAGUCUGUUGUGAAAUCCCAGGGCUCAACCCUGGAACUGCAAUGGAAACUGCAUAGCUUGAGUAUCGGAGAGGUGAGAGGAAUUCUCGGUGUAAGGGUGAAAUCUGUAGAUAUCGAGAGGAAUACCAAUGGCGAAGGCAUCUCACUGGCCAUAUACUGACGCUGAAUUGCGAAAGCUGGGGGAGCAAACAGG